GCGUUGGUGGUUGAUCUUCGUGCCCGUGGUGGUUUUUAUAGUUCUGUUAGUGGUUGUUGUGAAAGUCAUCAGACGGAAAGGAAACAGAACGCAGAUGGGUGACGAUGUUGAGCUGACCUCAGACCCUGCAGGGUCUCGGUCUGCUGCAGGGACCGGUCAGGACACGGCUGAUCCUGAAGGCGGGGUUUCCUACGCCUCCAUCAGAUACAACAAGAAGGGGAAAAGAGAAGCUCGGGUUUGUGCUAAAGACAAUGCUGACGAUGGUUCAGU